GACUCUCGGCAGCGGAUAUCUCGGCUCACGCAUCGAUGAAGAACGUAGCAAAAUGCGAUACUUGGUGUGAAUUGCAGAAUCCCGUGAACCAUCGAGUUUUUGAACGCAAGUUGCGCCCAAAGCCUUUCGGCUGAGGGCACGUCUGCCUGGGCGUCACAC
rnacentral:rRNA from 1 species